AUGAAAGUGAAAACCAAAGUGUUGGAGUGACUUUCUCCAGUUUAUGUAGACAGUGAGGACGCAGACUCAGGAUUCCAACCAAGAUGUUUUAACACCAAAUCAAGCUCUUUUCCUACAUAACUCUAGCUCUUCAAACACAUGUCACCUAACUACGACACACAACCUUGGAGCUAGUGGAGGAACUAACUACGACACACAAGCUCAGCCCUUCUUACCUCUGGACUUCCAGGAGCAGAAAGCAAGAAGCUUAAGGACAGAGGAGAGAUUUCCCACUGCCACGAGGGGUAGAGAAAAGCACCCAUCUUCUUCCCAGCUUGCAACAGAGACUGAGGCGCAGAAGCCUGCAGAGGUCACAUGUCAGACUAUUGCCAGGUUUCAUCUACUCAUCUAUCAAAAAUUUAAAACGAGAGUACAUCCAGAAGAAGGAGCAAGGAAGAUGAAAAGACUGGAAAUGAUUCCAUGUAGCAGCUGCGGGUUGAGAAUCGAAUGGGCGAUGGAAACUGAGGAUAUUAACUGAAGAAACUGACAGGAUCCCCUGACUAUCUCAGGAAUGAAGUAGGAAAUUGUGAAAGCAGGUUUGUUACAACACCAUCAAUUGUUAUCAAAGACAGUGAUGUUCUUGACCGAAACAGCCAGCUGGUUAGUGCCUCUAUUGCUUUUUGAAUGAAUGCCAUGGGAACCUAUUUAGUGGACUUAUGUCC